UACGUAGGGUGCAAGCAUUAAUCGGAAUUACUGGGCGUAAAGCGUGCGCAGGCGGUUAUAUAAGACAGUUGUGAAAUCCCCGGGCUCAACCUGGGAACUGCAUCUGUGACUGUAUAGCUAGAGUAUGUAAGAGGGUCGCGGAAUUCCCGGUGUAGAGGUGAAAUUCGUAGAUAUCGGGAGGAACACCGGUGGCGAAGGCGGCGACCUGGGACAAUACUGACGCUGAGGUGCGAAAGCGUGGGGAGCAAACAGG
rnacentral:rRNA from 1 species